rnacentral:rRNA from 1 species
CCCCUAGACGUUCUGGGCUGCACGCGCGCUACAAUAAUACGCACAGCGAGUAUCACCGAGCUCGAAAGGGCAAGGUAAACAAUAGAAAAGGUACUGUAAUGGUUAUAGAUCCUUGUAAUUAUUGAUCUUCAACGAGGAAUUCCUAGUAAGUAUGUGUCAUCAUCACGCACUGAUUACGUCCCUGCCCUUUGUACACACCGCCCGUCGCUCCUACCGAUUGUGUGAGCCGAUGAAACUCUCGGAUGUAGGCUAUUCAUAGCCCGCAGAAGAGAUUUGAAUCGUAGCGCUUAGAGGAAGGAGAAGUCGUAACA